rnacentral:rRNA from 1 species
AUGUAUCUAUCCUAUGCACUCCACACACAGACACAGACACAGACACAGGAGGUGGAGGAGAAGAAUGCUGCUUCCUCAGUCGCAGUCGCCAGGAGAGGCCGCGGGAGACCAAGGAAGAACCACACCAAGGUCAAACACCCAGAUUCAGAGCCAACCUCUCCAACUGCAAACAGGUCCAGGUCCAGGUCCAGGGCAGCUACAUCUCAUACACAAACCGCCGCCGGGGCUAGGACUAGGACCACAAUGCUGGCAGCAACAACAAUGUCUGCCGCUGCUGCUGCCUCCAGGGGAACCUACAAAUGGAAACGGGAUCAAGACAAGAAGAGGGCCUGGGAGGCCCAGAAACGAGGAUCGACUACCAAGAUUGUGCCAUCAAAUUAA